GGGUCAGAUUGUUCAAGGCUGGGAGUUAAGCUUUCAUCAUCAACUUCAUCUCGAAAUAAUGAUGACAGCCCUGCUACAUCAAUUUUACCAUGGAAGUUUCAAUGGAUGGGAAUCUUGCUGAUAUCUGGUGCUAUACUACUCUGGAAAUAGGAAUUUCAAUAGUGUGUUGCCUCAGUUUGGCAUCACUUUACCAGUUAUGUUUACACAUAAUUGCUUGAUAUUGAUUGUGAUGUAGUUAUUUAAUUAUUUUCACAGAGGAUAGAUUUUGUAUUCAUAGAAUAAACAUGAGGAAGAGGAUUAUUGCUUCUAGAAUAGCCUCAUAUACAGUAGCAAGCAGCAUUUUCUAUUAAAAUCUUUCUUGUGUAAAAGAACAUACUGCUAGUGCAGAAAUUGAUUUUGUUAAUAGUGAAUGAUGGGUUUUGGACCAUUUGUUUCAAAUACGAGCAAUGUUUUCA